CCAAUAGCGUAUAUUAAAGUUGUUGCAGUUAAAAAGCUCGUAGUUGAAUUUCGGGGUUAGUAGGUUGGUCAUGCCUCUGGUAUGUACUGGUCUCACUGAUUCCUCCUUCCUGAUGAACCUUAAUGCCAUUUAUUUGGUGUUUUGAGGAAUUUGGACUGUUACUUUGAAAAAAUUAGAGUGUUUAAAGCAAGCUAACGCUU
rnacentral:rRNA from 1 species